AAAGUGCUUCUAGAAUGAA
rnacentral:rRNA from 1 species